UCCUACCCUCAGGGCUAACUGACAUUCCUUUGACAAACAGCUGGAGGAAGGGGUUGGCUUUCAGAUGUCUGGGGAGGUGUAUGGAUUAUUCCAGGUGUUUAGUGCCUCAAGGAGCUGGGGCCAGACAAGAGUUCAGAAAGGAUUUCAGGACUGGGAUGCUCCAGGGUCUCACUCCAUCAGGACAUGGAAAAACCAAAACCCUUUCAGGAGGAGAAAGUGGGUGUUGUGAGCCUGGGAUCUUUUAGCCCCAAACACACCCACCACUUGGAGGGAAGCAAAAAUUCCAAAGUACACAGUUUGGGAAACACUGACCAGUAAGAAAGUCUCCAGUUUUGUGCCAGGAGACUGUGAAGAGUCCCUCAUCCUAGCUACCUGGAAGCCAGUAUUCUGCUAGCAUCCUUCAGAUGAAGAUGUAGAACACUCAGCUCCUCCUGCAUCAUGCCUGCCUGGAUGCUGCCAUGUUCCCGCCUUGAUGAUACUAGAUUGAACCUCUGAACCUGUAUCUUCUCCACUUCCUUCCUUGUCCCCUCAAAGAUGUUGACUAACAUCAAGGCAACACCUUCUUUGUAGAUGAAAGAGGUAAGAUCCAUGUUUAUUCUGCCCCUUCCCAUGGCAUAGCCACAGGCAACAGAUACCUUAGCUCCUGCCAUAGGCAGGGAACAUGGGCUUGAGCUAUGUUUGGAAGGGGCAGGAUCUGGGGGACCCCCACUUAAUGCUGUAGGUGAUAAAGUGCUUGGAAGAGAUGGUGAAUGUCUGUUGACCAUGCACGCAAAUCUGAG
rnacentral:lncRNA from 1 species